GUGCCUGCUUCGGCAGCACAUGCACUAAAAUUGGAAUGAUACAGUAGAUUAGCAUGGCCCCUGCGCAAGGAUGACUCACAAAUUCAUGAAGUGUUCCAUAUUUAA